rnacentral:ncRNA from 1 species
AAAAAGUUUUAUUUUAGCUUAAAAAUUAAGUAUUAUUUUUAUUUAUAUGUAAAUUUUUAUUAAAGAAUUAAAUACAGUGUUUAAUAUUAUAUUUUUAGGAAAUUAAGAAAUAGAAAUAAUUAAUAAUAUAAACUAAAUUUGUGCCAGCAGUUGCGGUUAUACAAAUUAUAUAAUUUAAUUUUAUUAAUUUUAAUUAAUUGAUUUUAAAUUUUAAAUUGUAAAUUUAUUAGGUGAAAUUAUAAAUUUGUAAAAAAUUUAAAUUUGAUAAUGAUGUUGAGAAAUUUUAGUAUUAAACUAGGAUUAGAUACCCUAUUAUUUAAAAGGUAAUUUUUUAUUUAAUUAGUAUUAGUUAUGAUCUUGAAAAUUAAAAAUUUUGGCGGUAUUUUAAUCUAUUCAGAGGAACCUGUUCUAUAAAUGAUAAUCCACGAUUUUAUUUACUUAUAUUAUUAAUUUAUAUAUCGUCGUUAAUUAAAUAUUUUUGUAGAAUUAUAAUAUUUAAAAUUUUUUAUAAAAAAAUAUUUCAGAUCAUGGUAUAGUUUAUAUAUAAGAAGAAAUGGGUUACAAUAAAUGAAUUUUAGGAUUUAUAUUUUUAAAUUGUAUUGAAUGUGGAUUUGAUAGUAAUUUUAAUUAAUUUAUUAGAAUGAUUUUAGUACUAAAAUAUGUACAUAUUGCCCGUCGCUUUCAUUUAAUAUGAAAUAAGUCGUAACAAAGUAGAUUUACUGGAAAGUGAAUCUAGAAAACA